AUUGAACGCUGGCGGCAGGCCUAACACAUGCAAGUCGAGCGGAUGAAGAGAGCUUGCUCUCUGAUUUAGCGGCGGACGGGUGAGUAAUGCCUAGGAAUCUGCCUGGUAGUGGGGGAUAACGUUCCGAAAGGAACGCUAAUACCGCAUACGUCCUACGGGAGAAAGCAGGGGACCUUCGGUCCUUGCGCUAUCAGAUGAGCCUAGGUCGGAUUAGCUAGUUGGUGAGGUAAUGGCUCACCAAGGCUACGAUCCGUAACUGGUCUGAGAGGAUGAUCAGUCACACUGGAACUGAGACACGGUCCAGACUCCUACGGGAGGCAGCAGUGGGGAAUAUUGGACAAUGGGCGAAAGCCUGAUCCAGCCAUGCCGCGUGUGUGAAGAAGGUCUUCGGAUUGUAAAGCACUUUAAGUUGGGAGGAAGGGCAGUAAGUUAAUACCUUGCUGUUUUGACGUUACCGACAGAAUAAGCACCGGCUAACUUCGUGCCAGCCGCCGCUGUAAUAC
rnacentral:rRNA from 1 species